GCACAAUGGGCGCAAGCCUGAUGCAGCAACGCCGUGUGAGUGAAGAAGGUUUCGGAUCGUAAACUCUGUCCUAAGGGAAGAAACAAAUGACGGUACCUUAGGAGGAAGCCCCGGCUAACUACGUGCCAGCAGCCGCGGUAAUACGUAGGGGGCAAGCGUUAUCCGGAAUCACUGGGCGUAAAGGGUGCGUAGGCGGCUUAGCAAGCCAGGGGUGAAAGGCAUUGGCUCAACCAAUGUAAGCCUUUGGAACUGUUAGGCUUGAGUGCAGGAGAGGUAAGUGGAAUUCCUAGUGUAGAGGUGAAAUUCGUAGAUAUUAGGAGGAACACCAGUGGCGAAGGCGACUUACUGGACUGUAACUGACGCUGAUGCACGAAAGCGUGGGUAGCGAACAGGAUUAGAUACCCUGGUAG
rnacentral:rRNA from 1 species